rnacentral:rRNA from 1 species
CCUACGGGAGGCAGCAGUGAGGAAUAUUGGUCAAUGGACGAGAGUCUGAACCAGCCAAGUAGCGUGAAGGAUGACUGCCCUAUGGGUUGUAAACUUCUUUUAUAAAGGAAUAAAACGAGGCACGUGUGCCUUGUUGCAUGUACUUUAUGAAUAAGAAUCGGCUAACUCCGUGCCAGCAGCCGCGGUAAUACGGAGGAUGCGAGCGUUAUCCGGAUUUAUUGGGUUUAAAGGGAGCGUAGAUGGGUUGUUAAGUCAGUUGUGAAAGUUUGCGGCUCAACCGUAAAAUUGCAAUUGAUACUGGCAGUCUUGAGUACAGGUGAGGUAGGCGGAAUUCGUGGUGUAGCGGUGAAAUGCUUAGAUAUCACGAAGAACCCCGAUUGCGAAGGCAGCUUACUAAACUGUGACUGACAUUGAUGCUCGAAAGUGUGGGUAUCAAACAGGAUUAGAUACCCCGGUAGUC